AUGAGAAAAAAAAAAUGGAACAUACAUCAUGAAAUUCAUUUUAAUAGCUUAAUUUUGACCAACUCUCUGGUUCAAUGUAUUAUUGUUGACCCUUUGUUCUUCAUUCCCAAACUGAGCUCUACACAAAUCGAGCUUUGCUUUAUUUUAAUAGGUACUACACACACACACACACACACACACACACACACACACACACACUCAUGUUUCCCUCGUAAAUGAGUUGGGAAUCCAAUACUUUGUCUCAAAGAGCUUCACAAACGACACUAGGAUAGUAAAGUGGCUGAUAACCUUCCUUAACACCAUUCAACACGAUGUUUCCCAAACAGAGGGACCCAUGGAACCCUAUUUCUCACCAGACCUUACAUAUUGAGAGAUCUGUGUGCUGUUGAACAAUCUGAGAAAAUUAAAUCUUAGAAACCAAAGAGUGACCCUGAAUGCUGCCAUCGUUAACUGCAUUCUUUUUCAGAUGACCCAACAGGACUUUAGAGGCGCCUCUGGGAAUUCCCUGGUGGCUCAGCAGGUUAAAGAUUGGCAUUGUCCCUGCUGUGGCGGGGGUUUGAUCCCUGGCCCCGGAACUUCUGUUUGCCACCAGUAGGCUCUCCCCUACUCCCUGAAAAGAAAGAGGAGAUGCCACUCCCAUCCCCCACUCCCCUCCCCCUUUUGAUGAACACAGACAGAUGGAAGCUUCGGCUGAGGCUGGGGCAGCUGGUGCCUGGUCCCGGCCUAAGCAUUUGUGUCACCCUCCCCCCCAAGCUUGCCGCAGACAGAGAGCCACUGUCCUUGCCCAGUGAGUCUCAGGGCGGAUGUCGCUGAGCCUCCAAGAUGCUGCUUCUCUUCCUGAGGAACUAAGAGUGUGGCUUUCACGUUCUGGAUCUUCUGCGGUCCUGAUGGAAUAUAAGGGCUGGGGCUAAAUAAUGCAACACUCCCGUUCCACUGAUGGGAACUUCUCUUUUUUUAACUACAGUCUCUUAUUCACUCAAAGGAAUGAAUUAUGUUUGAUGGCCUUUUAUAAAAUAUUCAUUCCUCCUCACAGGGCUCUUGGUGGUUCAGGAAGCCUGGAAAUGGCCUGGGGUGAGGAGAACCUCAAUUCCCUCUGGACAUAAUUCACAGAGGCGGCCAGGCUCUGACCACAGGGGACGCGAUGCUGGACAGGCUUGGAUCCCAGCAUUCUGCCCAGGACAGCUGGACCUCCUGGAGGUUGGGGGCCUCGGCGGCGGCU
rnacentral:lncRNA from 1 species